CGACCUUCCACAAGAGAGCUGGUUGCGGAAAGCGAAACCCCGGACUCCUCAGGAGUUCCUUCUAAAGAGCCAACCGGGAGCGCUGCGCAGAUAUACCUACUGAGAAGAUAGAAGACUUACUUUCAUCAUCUGAAUCAAAUCCAAAGAGUGUCUGACAUUUCUUUUGUGCAAGGGUUGCUCAACUGAUGUUUCCAAAUUCCAGUCAAGAUGGCACAGUAGAUAAAUGCUGUGCUUACCUUCUCUCAUGACAACAUCAAAAUUACAACUACAAGCAACCGUCAUUGAGAAUCCCCUAAGACCUUGCUAAACCAAAGCCCUACAACUAAGAACAUACAGAAGAAGACAUCUAGAGACUGGUAGGAGGAGUACAGACGUGGAACG